rnacentral:lncRNA from 1 species
CUGAAAAUCAAACCCAAUGUCUCACACAUGCUAGGCAAGCGCUCUGCCACUGAGCCACAACCCCAGCCUGAGAUUUUUUUUUUAAACAUUUUUUUAGUUGUUGAUAGAUCUUUAUUUUAUUUAUUUAUAGUGGUGCUGAGAAUCAAACUCAGUGCCUCACACAUGACAGCCAAGUGCGCUACUGCUGAGCCAUAGCCCCAGCCCUCUGAGAUUUUUUUUAAAAUAUAUUUUAGUUGUCCAUGGACCUUUAAUUAAUUAAUUAAUUAAUUAAUUAAUAUGUAGUGCUGAAAAUCAAACCCACGGCCUCUCCCACAUGCCAGGCAAGCAUUUUACACUGAGCCACAACCCGAGCCCCAGCAUUUAAGAUUUUUUUGCUACUGUGGAUUGAAUUCAGAGGCGCUUAAUCACUGAGCCACAUCCCCAGCCCUUUUUUUGUAUCUUAUUUAGAGACAGGGUCUCACUGAGUUGUUUAGGGCCUUACUAAAUUGCUAAGGCUGGCUUUGAACUAGUGAUCCUCUUGCCUCAGCCUCCCAAGCCACUGGGAUUACAGGCAUGCACCACCAUGCCCAGCAGCGUUUAAGAUUUAAAAAAAAAAUUUUAUCCAGGAUUUUAGUUGUUUUUAGGUCUUUUAGGUUCUUAGCCUGAAAAGGAAAGCACAAAUAUGCAAUAUUUUUGCACAUAUUUAAUAUGACCUGUCUUUUCCAGUAAUGCAACCACUAUGUAAAUUGUUUUGUAUUGUUCUGAACUUUAUCAAGAGUUGUUCACCAUUUUGGAAAGUCAGACCAAUGGCAAUUCUGCCUAAUUCAACUCUCCUCGGUCAGUCUGUAUUUUUCCCUAUCACAUUCUUAGUGAUUCUAGGGCUGGGGGUAGAGUUUCCUAUUUUCCUCUAACUUCCAGUGUAGAAUAGUGCCCAAGUAUUUGCAUAUUGAAAU